GAUCAUUAUCGNACAAUCGAGGUGCAAGGGCUGUCGCUGACCUUCNNGGUCGNGCACGCCCGAGCAACUCCCACACAUCCAUCUCACCCCCUUGUGCAUCACCGCGUGGGCCCUCCCUUUGCAGGAGGGCUUGCGUUUUCACAUAAAACUUUGAUACGGCGUAGAAUGUUUUCUUUUGCGGUCACACGCAAUCAAUACAACUUUCAACAACGGAUCUCUUGGCUCUCGCAUCGAUGAAGAACGCAGCGAAAUGCGAUACGUAAUGUGAAUUGCAGAAUUCAGUGAAUCAUCGAAUCUUUGAACGCACCUUGCGCCCCUUGGCAUUCCGAGGGGCACACCCGUUUGAGUGUCGUGAAAUCAUCAAAAACCUUUUUCUUUUUUUGAAAAGGAUUUUUUUGGACUUGGAGGUUCCAUGCUUGCUUUCGCCUUUGAAAGUGAGCUCCUCUCAAAUAAAUUANUGGGGNCCGCUUUGCUGAUCCUUGAUGUGAUAAAGAUGUUUCUACAUCUUGGAUUUAGCACAGUCUUUUGGACACCUGCUCCCAACCGUCCCUUGGACAAUGAUGGGUGCUCCUGGUCACUGCCAUCUUAUAUUGGCGGGAGGCUGGACCCACGAAAGAAAACCUUGACCUCAAAUCGGGUGAGACUACCCGCUGAACUUAAGCAUAUCAAUAAGCGGAGG
rnacentral:sRNA from 1 species